rnacentral:rRNA from 1 species
AACGAACGCUGGCGGCAUGCCUAACACAUGCAAGUCGAACGAGACCUUCGGGUCUAGUGGCGCACGGGUGCGUAACGCGUGGGAAUCUGCCCUUGGGUUCGGAAUAACAGUUGGAAACGACUGCUAAUACCGGAUGAUGACGUAAGUCCAAAGAUUUAUCGCCCAGGGAUGAGCCCGCGUAGGAUUAGCUAGUUGGUGGGGUAAAGGCCUACCAAGGCGCCGAUCCUUAGCUGGUCUGAGAGGAUGAUCAGCCACACUGGGACUGAGACACGGCCCAGACUCCUACGGGAGGCAGCAGUGGGGAAUAGUGGACAAUGGGCGAAAGCCUGAUCCAGCAAGGCCGCGUGAGUGAUGAAGGCCUUAGGGUUGUAAAACUCUUUUACCCGGGAUGAUAAUGACAGUACCGGGAGAAUAAGCCCCGGCUAACUCCGUG